rnacentral:rRNA from 1 species
GACGAACGCUGGCGGCGUGCUUAACACAUGCAAGUCGAACGGAAAGGCCCUGCUUUUGUGGGGUGCUCGAGUGGCGAACGGGUGAGUAACACGUGAGUAACCUGCCCUUGACUUUGGGAUAACUUCAGGAAACUGGGGCUAAUACCGGAUAGGAGCUCCUGCUGCACGGUGGGGGUUGGAAAGUUUCGGCGGUUGGGGAUGGACUCGCGGCUUGUCAGCUUGUUGGUGGGGUAGUGGCUUACCAAGGCUUUGACGGGUAGCCGGCCUGAGAGGGUGACCGGCCACAUGAGGACUGAGAUACGGCGCAGACGCCUACGGGAGGCAGCAGUGGGGAAUAUUGCACAGUGGGCGCAAGCCUGAUGCAGCAACGCCGCGAGCGGGAUAACGGCCUUCGGGUUGUGAACCGCUGUCUCCUGUGACGAAGCGUGAGUGACGGUAAUGGGUAAAGAAGCACCGGCUAACUACGUG